UACGUAGGUGGCGAGCGUUGUCCGGAUUUACUGGGCGUAAAGGGCGCGUAGGCGGGCCGCCAGGUCCGGGGUGAAAGCCUCCAGCUCAACUGGAGAAGUGCCUUGGAUACCGGCGGCCUCGAGGGAGGUAGGGGCGUGCGGAACUUCGGGUGGAGCGGUGAAAUGCGUAGAUAUCCGAAGGAACACCGGUGGCGAAAGCGGCGCGCUGGAUCUCUUCUGACGCUGAGGCGCGAAAGCCAGGGGAGCAAACGGG
rnacentral:rRNA from 1 species